GAGUUUGAUCAUGGCUCAGAUUGAACGCUGGCGGCAGGCCUAUCACAUGCAAGUCGAGCGAGAAAGCCCUUCGGGGUGAGUACAGCGGCGGACGGGUGAAUAACGCGUAGGAAUCUACCCAGUAGUGGCGACAACUUGGGGAGACCCAAGCUAAUACCGCAUACGCCCUACGGGGGAAAGCGGGGGACCUUCGGGCCUCGUGCUAUUGGAUGAGCCUGCGUCGGAUUAGCUAGUUGGUGGGGUAAAAGCUCACCAAGGCGACGAUCCGUAGCUGGUCUGAGAGGAUGAUCAGCCACACUGGAACUGAGACACGGUCCAGACUCCUACGGGAGGCAGCAGUGGGGAAUAUUGCGCAAUGGGCGAAAGCCUGACGCAGCCAUGCCGCGUGUGUGAAGAAGGCCUUAGGGUUGUAAAGCACUUUCAAUUGGGAAGAAAAGCUUGUCGUUAAUAGCGACAAGCCCUGACAUUACCUUUAGAAGAAGCACCGGCUAACUCCGUGCCAGCAGCCGCGGUAAUACGGAGGGUGCGAGCGUUAAUCGGAAUUACUGGGCGUAAAGCGCGCGUAGGCGGUUGAUUAAGUCGGAUGCGAAAGCCCUGGGCUUAACCUGGGAACUGCAUUCGAUACUGUUCGACUAGAGUACGAGAGAGGGAGGUAGAAUUCCACGUGUAGCGGUGAAAUGCGUAGAUAUGUGGAGGAAUACCGGUGGCGAAGGCGGCCUCCUGGCUCGAUACUGACGCUGAGGUGCGAAAGCGUGGGGAGCAAACAGGGUUAGAUACCCUGGUAGUCCACGCCGUAAACGAUGUCUACUAGCCGUUGGGAGACUUGAUUUCUUAGUGGCGCAGCUAACGCACUAAGUAGACCGCCUGGGGAGUACGGCCGCAAGGUUAAAACUCAAAUGAAUUGACGGGGGCCCGCACAAGCGGUGGAGCAUGUGGUUUAAUUCGAUGCAACGCGAAGAACCUUACCAGGUCUUGACAUCCUGCGAAUUUUCUAGAGAUAGAUUAGUGCCUUCGGGAACGCAGUGACAGGUGCUGCAUGGCUGUCGUCAGCUCGUGUCGUGAGAUUUGGGUUAAGUCCCGUAACGAGCGCAACCCUUGUCCUUAGUUGCCAGCGAGUCAUGUCGGGAACUCUAAGGAGACUGCCGGUGACAAACCGGAGGAAGGUGGGGACGACGUCAAGUCAUCAUGGCCCUUACGACCUGGGCUACACACGUGCUACAAUGGAGCGUACAGAGGGCAGCAAAAGCGCGAGCUGGAGCCAAUCCCACAAAACGUUUCGUAGUCCGGAUCGGAGUCUGCAACUCGACUCCGUGAAGUCGGAAUCGCUAGUAAUCGCGAAUCAGAAUGUCGCGGUGAAUACGUUCCCGGGCCUUGUACACACCGCCCGUCACACCAUGGGAGUGGGUUGCUCCAGAAGUGGUUAGCCUAACCUUCGGGAGGGCGAUCACCACGGAGUGAUUCAUGACUGGGGUGAAGUCGAAACAAGGUA
rnacentral:rRNA from 1 species